UAUAAUAAAUUCAAAAUAUAUUGCUAUUGUAGUAACUGGCUUUUAUAUAAUUAAAUAAUGUUAUUUUUUACGUCUAAUUACUAUUUAUUAUUAGGCAAUUUGAUAUUGUUCAUCUAUUACGUGCUAAUAAAAAUUACCUUUCUGCGGUAAUAUAAAUUUACUUUAUAAUAAUUAUUACUAUCCAAACAAGGUAUAAAAAAUGGGUUAAAUGUGUUAUAUCCGUUUUUAACAAAUUUUAUAAUUUUCACAAUAAAAAAACAAAACAAACUUCAUUUCUAUUUCUAAAACUAACUGACCUAUAAUAAUAUUCAACUGUGAAAAUAUACAAAUCGUAAACAUUUGUUGGCUGAAUUGAAGUCGUAGUACCCACCUAAUUUAUCGAUUUUGGCCGGAUGAGAAAAUUGAGUGAACAAUUUUUAACUCACAAAAAACACUACUAAAAUAUAAUAAAUCUAUUGAGAUAUUGUACAAAGAAUAUUGAUAAAUGUUAUCCAAAAUUAUUGUGUGGCGAUGGAUACAAAUAUCGUAUUGUAAUGCUUGAUAAUGUUUAACAGAUCGUCUUUGCAUUGUGAUAAUCGGUUUUGUACACAAUAUGGCAUAACUAUGGUA